rnacentral:rRNA from 1 species
GGGCUGUUCGCCCAUUAAAGCGGUACGCGAGCUGGGUUCAGAACGUCGUGAGACAGUUCGGUCCCUAUCCGUCGUGGGCGUAGGAAAUUUGAGAGGAGCUGUCCUUAGUACGAGAGGACCGGGAUGGACAUACCUCUGGUGUACCAGUUGUCGUGCCAACGGCAUAGCUGGGUAGCUAUGUGUGGACGGGAUAAGUGCUGAAAGCAUCUAAGCAUGAAGCCCCCCUCAAGAUGAGAUUUCCCAACUUCGGUUAUAAGAUCCCUCAAAGAUGAUGAGGUUAAUAGGUUCGAGGUGGAAGCAUGGUGACAUGUGGAGCUGACGAAUACUAAUCGAUCGAAGACUUAAUCAAAA